AGAGUUUGAUCAUGGCUCAGAAUCAACGCUGGCGGCGUGCCUAACACAUGCAAGUCGAACGCGGUUGCCCCGCAGGGGGCAACUGAGUGGCAAACGGGUGAGUAACACGUGGGUGACCUGCCUUCGAGCGGGGGAUAACGUUCCGAAAGGGACGCUAAUACCGCGUAACAUCCUGCCUUUGAACAGGUGGAGAUCAAAGCUGGGGAUCGCAAGACCCGGCACUUGAAGAGGGGCCCGCGUCUGAUUAGCUAGUUGGUGAGGUAACGGCUCACCAAGGCGACGAUCAGUAUCCGGCCUGAGAGGGCGGACGGACACACUGGGACUGAGACACGGCCCAGACUCCUACGGGAGGCAGCAGUGGGGAAUUGUUCGCAAUGGGCGCAAGCCUGACGACGCAACGCCGCGUGGAGGAUGAAGAUUUUCGGAUCGUAAACUCCUGUCGAAUGGGACGAAUAGGUCACGGCUUAAUACGCCGUGAUCCUGACGGUACCGUUAAAGGAAACCCCGGCUAACUCCGUGCCAGCAGCCGCGGUAAUAC
rnacentral:rRNA from 1 species